UACAGGGGGGGCAAGCGUUGUUCGGAAUUACUGGGCGUAAAGGGCCAGUAGGCGGCCAACUAAGUCCGACGUGAAAUCCCCAGGCUUAACCUGGGAACUGCGUCGGAUACUGGAUGGCUUGAAUUCGGGAGAGGGAUGCAGAAUUCCAGGUGUAGCGGUGAAAUGCGUAGAUAUCUGGAGGAACACCGGUGGCGAAGGCGGCAUCCUGGACCGGCAUUGACGCUGAGGAGCGAAAGCCAGGGGAGCAAACGGG
rnacentral:rRNA from 1 species